rnacentral:rRNA from 1 species
AGAGUUUGAUCCUGGCUCAGGACGAACGCUGGCGGCGUGCUUAAUACAUGCAAGUCAAGGAGAAUUUUAUUUUCGAAUAAAUAGUAAACUGGCGAACGGGUGAGUAACGCGUAAAUAACUUGCCUCAGAGAUUGGGACAACAUUGGGAAACCAGUGCUAAUACCAAAUAAUGCAGCGGGCUCUUCGGAGCAUAGUUGUUAAAGUAGGCUUCGGCUUACACUUUGAGAUAGGUUUGCGUCCGAUUAGUUUGUUGGUGGGGUAAUGGCCUACCAAGACUAAGAUCGGUAGCUGGUCUGAGAGGAUGAUCAGCCACACUGGAAUUGAGAUACGGUCCAGACUCCUACGGGAGGCAGCAGUAAGGAAUUUUGCACAAUGGGCGAAAGCCUGAUGCAGCAACGCCGCGUGAACGAUGAAGUUUUUAGGAAUGUAAAGUUCUGUCGUAUGGGAAGAAAUGUUUCAGAUGUUAAUACCAUUUGUUUUUGACGGUACCAUACAAGAAAGCACCGGCUAACUUCGUGCCAGCAGCCGCGGUAAUACGAGGGGUGCUAGCGUUGUCCGGAUUUACUGGGCGUAAAGGGUACGUAGGCUUUUUAAUAAGUUAUAUGUUAAAUAUCUUAGCUUAACUAAGAACGUGCAUAUAAAACUGUUAAAAUAGAGUUUGAGAGAGGAAGGCAGAAUUCAUGGUGGAGCGGUGACAUGCGUAGAUAUCAUGAGGAAAGUCAAAUGCGAAGGCAGCCUUCUGGCUCAAAACUGACGCUGAGGUACGAAAGCGUGGGGAGCGUACAGGAUUAGAUACCCUGGUAGUCCACGCCGUAAACGAUGAGUAUUUGGUGCUGGGAGAUUCGACCCUUUCAGUGCCGUAGCUAACGCGUUAAAUACUCCGCCUGGGGACUACGAUCGCAAGAUUGAAACUCAAAGGAAUUGACGG